rnacentral:tRNA from 1 species
GAGGUUGUAGCUCUGUGGUUGAGUGCAUGUCUUACACAUAUGAGGCACUGGGUUUCAUCCUCA